rnacentral:rRNA from 1 species
UUGUGAAAUGCAGGUGCUCAACAUAUGCAGUGCAGCGAGAAGUGGUCCACUUGAGUGUGCGCACCGCGGGCAGAAUUCGUCGUGUAGCGGUGAAAUGCUUAGAUAUGACGAAGAACUCCGAUUGAGAAGGCAUCUUGCGGGAGCACAACUGACGCUGAAGCUCGAAAGUGCGGGUAUCGCACAGG